rnacentral:rRNA from 1 species
AAUCAACGCUGGCGGCGCGCUUAACACAUGCAAGUCGAACGAGAAAGGGGAGCAAUCCCUGAGUAAAGUGGCGUACGGGUGAGUAACACGUGGGUAAUCUACCUCCUUGUGGGGAAUAACGUUGGGAAACCGACGCUAAUACCGCAUAAGCUCGAAAGAGGAAAGCAGCAAUGCGCAGGGAGAGGAGCCCGCGGCCGAUUAGCUAGUUGGUGGGGUAAAAGCUCACCAAGGCAACGAUCGGUAGCCGGCCUGAGAGGGCACACGGCCACACUGGCACUGAAACACGGGCCAGACUCCUACGGGAGGCAGCAGUAAGGAAUAUUGCUCAAUGGCCGAAAGGCUGAAGCAGCAACGCCGCGUGGAGGAUGAAAUACUUUUGUAUGUAAACUCCUGUAAGAAGGGAAAAUAUUCCGAUUUAUCGGAAUUGAUUGUACCUUCAGAGUAAGCCCCGGCUAACUACGUG